rnacentral:misc_RNA from 1 species
GCCAAACCUUUUGACCUUUACAGUUCACUAGAAAAGACAUUCCUGGAAAAUGCUUUUCCCCAACUGCUUCAUUCAAACUAAUUAAUAAAAAUUUAGAAAAAUUAAAUGAAAACAAAAUUUUGGAUUAAAUAGCUGAAUGUGUAAUUAAGAAUCCAUAUGAGAUGCAGAUUGCAAACAGUUCAUUUUCACUGCUAUUUACUUUGUUUUAUUAUUAUUAAAAAAUUAAAAAUGUAUUAAUCCUGACUAUACAACACAACAAUGACAAUGCUGGAGCUGGAGCUGGAGCUAGGGAGUCUGACAGAGAUCCUGUGAUCAUGCUAUUUUGGACCUCUUAUGGAGUUCUUCCCAAUG